GGGCGUAAAGACGCAUGCAGGUGGUUUGUUAAGUCUAGAUGUGAAAGACCCGGGGCGUCAACCUCGGAAUAGCAUUUGAAACUGGCAGACUAGAGUACUGUAGAGGGGGGUAGGAAGUUUCAGGUGUAGCGGUGAAAUGCGUAGAGAUCUGAAGGAAUACCGGUGGCGAAGGCGGCCCCCUCGGACAGAUACUGACACUCAGAUGCGAAAGCGUGGGGAGCAAACAGGAUUAGAUACCCCUGGUAG
rnacentral:rRNA from 1 species